GACAGAGGAGGCAAGCGUUGUCCGGACUUACUGGGCGUAAAGCGUCCGCAGGUGGUCGUGCAAGUGCCGUGUGAAAGCGCUCGGCUUAACUGAGCGAGGCCAGGGCAGACUGCUCGGCUCGAGGUCGGGAGAGGUCGGUGGAAUUGCCGGUGUAGUGGUGAAAUGCGUAGAGAUCGGCAGGAACACCCAAGGGGAAGCCAGCCGACUGGCCCGCACCUGACACUCAGGGACGACAGCGUGGGGAGCGAACCGG
rnacentral:rRNA from 1 species